GGUUAAGCGACUAAGCGUACACGGUGGAUGCCCUGGCAGUCAGAGGCGAUGAAGGACGUGCUAAUCUGCGAUAAGCGUCGGUGAGGUGAUAUGAACCGUUAUAACCGGCGAUUUCCGAAUGGGGAAACCCAGUGUGUUUCGACACACUAUCAUUAACUGAAUCCAUAGGUUAAUGAGGCGAACCGGGGGAACUGAAACAUCUAAGUACCCCGAGGAAAAGAAAUCAACCGAGAUUCCCCCAGUAGCGGCGAGCGAACGGGGAGGAGCCCAGAGCCUGAAUCAGUGUGUGUGUUAGUGGAAGCGUCUGGAAAGGCGUGCGAUACAGGGUGACAGCCCCGUACACAAAAAUGCACAUAUUGUGAGCUCGAUGAGUAGGGCGGGACACGUGG
rnacentral:rRNA from 1 species